rnacentral:tRNA from 1 species
ACGGGUAUGAUGAAAUGGUAUCAUUACUGUCUUCCAAAUAGUCCUUCUCAGUUCGAAUCUGAGUGUCCGUA